GCAGACGGGGCACGCAUGCUCCUGGGAGCAGCAGGAGGGAUGGGAGUCUGGCUCAGUGGGGACCUGGGGAUAAAUAUUUUCUGGGGCCUUGUGGAGCAGCAGCCUUUGGGGCACUCAGCCCAAAAUGUUAGAAGAGGAUUCUGCUGGGUGAUGUAAAAUGUCUUUUGUCUGGACGCUCUGGCCUGUGGAGCAAUGCCUGUUCCUCACAAAGCCUGUGCUUAUUCCCUAGAAUACUUCCAUAAGAAAAAAAAAACCACGUUCCUCUAAGACACCCUAAACCAAUACCUGCUGUGACUAAGCCCUGUGGGCAGCUCCACAGCUGAUUUAUAUCCACCCCCUCCAAAGCGAAGGGGUUAGAGUGGAAACAGACGCUGCGUUAAACAUAGCCGAGGGCACCCAGCAGCACAAUUCUGCAAUAAAGCAGGGAGGAAACGGGACUAAGGGGCGGCUGCUGCCAGGCAUGACGCGGUUUCGUGUUUCCUCGUAGGCAGAACAGACCUCCUUUUGGCUGGUGCAGCUUUAUGGGCUCGGUUGGGUUUAUUAUACUGCGAAUGUUUUGAAUUCCACGUCUUAAUUUCCAGAGAGGCUUUGCUUAACUUUUGCUUUUUUUUUCCCCAGUUUUGAUUUUUUACUACCGCUGCCUUAACCUCUUCUUUUCAACUGGGUUUCAGUCUAAACUGCCGUUCUCUGAGCAAACACAGGGCCGGCGUUCCCGCUGCCUGGCCUUCAGCUGCAAAUUAAUCUCUUUUCAUAGUUCCAUUUUAUGUCCGCCCACUCUCCCCACCACAUUAACUCAGUCAACACAUGGAAGUGAAAUUUUUCCAUGCAGGAUCCUGUGGGUUGUGAGGCUGUGAGCAACACGUGACUGCCAGCUCCAGAGUCUGCUUGCACCUCUGGGUGGAAGGAAGUUUCCUCAUCCCGCACGUAUCCAGCGGGGCUCGGUGCGAUGCAAAAGGCCACUUCUCAGUGCGGCUGUUCUGUCUCUCUGGGGCUUAUCACCUUCCUAGAGUGGACAGCAAACACAAAUAAUGAUGAUGCUAACAAAGACAGACGGAGUCUCGUUGGCCAUCUUCUGGAUGUGCUUUUUGCUUCUAUGUGAUUCCUUUCACGUGAAAGCCUGGGAGGACUUUCAAGUACUUUGUGCACUUGGCAAGUAUAACCAUACCUAUUCCACAGGUUGAAGAACACGUGAGACACACAACCGCUAAGUGAAAGAGAUUGUCUGGGAGUGUCACGGCAUCAGAGGAAGAGCUGCAAAAAUACUUUAGGGCUCCCGAUACUUUUUAUCCUGUCUUAGUCUCCAGGCAACAGCAAAUAUUUCUCCUGAAUGCUCUGGAUGAGCAGAUGCCAACGUUGAUUCACAGGAAAAGGAUGUAGCCACGCAAGCCCUAGAAGUGUUGUUUGGGAUGGUAGCCACAGCCCCUGAGGAGACAUUAAUCUAUAUGGAGCAAACGCCAGUGAAGUUAUUUCUUGAAGCUAUUGCUGUAUUUGCUAUGAAGAGAUUUCUUGAGUAGUCUAAUGUGGGAGCCAUCAUGAUUCACCCCAAUUAUAGCUGCAGUGAGAGAAUAGACUGUGCUUCUUGGCUUUGGAUGCGCUGCAAGGGCUCUGGGGCACGAGCAAAGUCCUGCUUUACUAAGACAUUGCAGCCACAAGUCAUGAGGAAAGGUUAUGUCCAAGGCCAACACCAGAGUGUAAAAAGUGUGCUUUUGCUUGGAAAAGGGUCAGUACUUAAAAUGUGCGGAGAGGUUCCCUGCUUAUUUUCUCUCAGCCUCAGAUCUUGCGUGCUAUGUUUACGAUAAACCUCAUGAUUUUAGACUUGCAAAAUUAUCAGGGGACUGAAAAGCCAUGAACAAACCUAAUUGACCCUCUCUUAAGAGAGCACAGCCAAAAUACCUAGGGGAACUGCAGAGAACUAUUUUCCUCUAAAUUUAGUUAAUGUGGCUUUGGAUUCUCAGGCUGAAUCUGCUGACCAAGAUAUUUUCCUUCAUUUGGCACUUUUCUGACCAGCAAAACACUCUCAACGUGCAUGAAAACAGCACUGGAAAUGUUUUUAAACCCUCUGAAAGCUCGUUUCAAAAGCAGGCAGCCUGAGAGAACUGGAGAGCAGGCAGCUGGACGAGGCCAGGGGUCUCGUGAUGGAGGCUGGAGACAGGCAGCCCAUGGGGUUAUCAGUGUAUCAUCCAGGUUGUCAGAGAUUUCUAGUGAGCCAUCUGAACCUUCACUCUUAACUAUGACAAGACUGAUCUCAAAAAUCCCCAAACCACCUCUCCAGCACAGAGAGUUGUCCUGCCUUAGCCUUGAUGUCUCCAGUGCCAGCACUUCCUUGGUGUUCCCAUCUUGCUGCUCAGGCUGUUGUAACCUCUCUAUAAUUUCACCUAAUAUUUCCUCUAAAUGUCUUCUGCAGAGGUCAUCAGUUUUGUGUCCCAUCCCCUUUGCUUAACAAGACCAGAGCCCAGCUCCUAGAUAAAAGUCCUUGCUGUUCUCUUCACCAGCCUGGUCCCAAGGGGAUCCACUUCUCCAAACCUUUCUGCUGCUCUCUUUGCAUGUCUCUUCCAUGAAUAAGGUUUCCUAAAACAGCCCCGUGCUUCACUUUCAUCCUGGUUCUCCUCUCACUGAUGCUGUUCUGCCUCUGUUUUUUGUAGAAUUCUGUGGAAAUUCUUGGAAGUGUAUCCCUGCUGGGUUGUGUGUAUGGGCACACAUGUAGGAAUAUCCAGCUCCAAUGGGAGUGCCGUGCUCCUGCCCUUCAGCUUUCCUUCCUGAUUCUCAUCCCUGUCCCCAGGGAAUGAAGGCUUUGAAACAUAAGUUGAUUUCUUCCCACUUAUCAUUAUCUUUGUUUACAUAAAUUACAGCACUUACCAGUGGCCAUAAAAUUAUCCGUCUUUUAAAAAAAAAAAAGUCAGCUGUAGAGUUUGGCCCUGUGACCUCACUGAUCAGCUCAUUUCCAAAGGCCAAACAUGCAGAGGAGAAAGAAACCGUUCUUUCAUGUUGAUCGCAGACCUUUGUCUCUCCAUUUUUGGCAGCAUCUGGCUUGCUUGGUGUCCCAGUGUUGGUCCCUGGCUCUUUCCCUGUGUACUCCAUAGCUCUGAAUCGUUCAACCCAGCAUGUAGGUUGGUCAGCUUUUCUCACUGGUAAGUGCUAUAAAUAAAGUUCUGUGUAGGAAAACAGGAAGUGAUGAUCUCUGGGGGAUGCUGGAUCACCUCUGGGUCUAUUGCAAACUAAAGUGGGGUUUUUUUUUGUAACCUGUCCCAUCUGGAAGCUGAAGGGCAGGUUGGUUGCUUAUUGUGAAUUGCUCUUGACCCAUGGUAAGAGCUCAGCAAUAAAAAUCUGGGUUCCAGUUGUGGUAAAGAAAGAAGAUAAUUAGGCUCCCAGUGUCUCCAAAGGAAAAAAAAGAGACAAUUCUAUCUCAUUUUAGGCACUAAAACCAGCAACUGUGAAUCUAACUGCCUGUAAGGAGUCAGUGAGCUGGAUAACCAGCAAUAUCAGGUAGACCAUUUUCUAUCAGCUGUUCCUACACCUAAUUUCUGUCAGUGGCUGAAUGGGAGGGUGCAGGUUCUCGGGCAUGUAGUGCUCCUCACUGUAAGAGGGAGGGGUGACCUGCAGCUGCUGGUUCAUUGACCGUAAAAAAAACUUUGGCCCUCAGCUGAUGUUACUUACACCCUCUGACAAUCUUUAUAGGAGACCUUAUCAAAAUUGGUGUAAAAAUAUGGAUGACCCACAGAAUGCUUACUAGGUCACAUCUAUCUGCUCCUUCAGUAUUUCUUUCUACUUCAGUGUAUGACCGUGUUGUCACAUGCAAGAUGAUCAGCAAGUAUAAUCACCUUGUCUGAUAGAACUACAAGCUAUUAAGCCUUGAAUGCCACAAGACUGUGAAUGGAGGAGGAAAGUGAUGUCAGAGGGUGUGAGAUGGGGUUCUCAGUUCAGAUACAAAGUACAUUCGAUGCUUUCUGUCUUGUGCGGGCAACAGGGAACACAAGCUGGGUUUCAAAAUGUGUGACUCAUGGCAGCAGUAAACCCAGCUAUGUGACAGAGAGCAAUGUGCUUGGUGUGGGCUCCAGCUCCUGGAGUCUCUCAGCUCCCAGUAUGCCCACACCAGGAGCCCUGUUCCUGUAUGGGACCCUCCAGCUCUGCAAACCUUAUCCUCUGCUCAGCCAGGACCUCCUGUCCUCCGAGUUUAAAAGCUUCAAAAAGGCCUGAAGUUCAAAAGCUACGCUGAGUUCAGUCCUUUAGGGGAUGGAAAAACCCAAGUGUUGCACACCCAGAGGCGAUGGAGAAGGGCUCGGAAAGAAACACAGGUGGAGUUUCUCUGGUUUAGAGACAGCGUCUGGACCUGCUUUCCUCAAGAGAAAAAGCCCUCGAACGGCUCUUGUGCAAUAUGCUGAUGGUCUGAGUACCCACAUCACCGACUCCCCAUGACAAUUGCCACCGAUCGACCACUUGCGGGCCGUCUCCACAGAGCAGCCGAGGAAUGAAUGAGUCAUGGAAGCUGCAUUCCCCUUCCCGCUGCCUCCCCGGGCCUUCCCGAGGAGGUGCCUUGACAACAGCAGAGGGAAGUUAGCACUGCUCUUUUUCAUGCUGCGAAACAGUGAUCAAACAAAGCUCUCCCGCUUCCACUCGCACCGAGGCAGCGUUUUUUAUUAGCGCUACCUAAAUGUUGUUGUACUGAAAAGAACAAAGUCAAGUAGAGCUGGGCACAUUACUUUGUUAAAUAAUUGAUUCCGUGCUCCUUCGGGCAAACAAAAAUCUAUCAUAUCUACAAAUGGCUUUAGCAGAAAACAAACAACGGCAUCUAAAUGCUGUUUUUCAUUUUAGAAUGGUUUUGUCAGGAGUGAGUUUGGUUACAUUUUAAUCGAAACAAACCUGAAGAAAAAAAAAAAA